rnacentral:rRNA from 1 species
UKAGAUGUCCGGGGCCGCACGCGUGUCACACUGAAGGAAUCAGCGUGUGUUCUCCCCCCGUCCGCCAGGACCGGGUAACCCGCUGAACCUCCUUCGUGACUGGGACUGGGGCUUGUAACUGUCCUCCACGAACGAGGAAUGCCCAGUAAGUGCGAGUCACCACCUCGCGCUGAUUACGUCCCUGCCCUUUGUGCACAUCGCCCGUCGCUACCUCCGAUUGAAUGAUUUAGUGAGGUCCUCGGACUGGCGCCCGGAGCGGUCUCUCGGGGCAGCGCCGGCGUGCCGGAAAGACGACCGAACUUGAUCAUUUAGAGGAAGUAAAAGUCGUAACAAAGUUUUC